CUUUGUGGGAGGUGGUGUAGAUGUGAUGGGGUGGGAUUUCUUGGACCUGAUUCGCCUUUUGUAAGUAGAUGGUUGAGGAGGAGGAGAGGUUUGCAAUGGAGGGGAAUCAGAAUUCAGGGCUUGAAUGGCGAGAGGAGUGACUUGGAGGGAAGAGCCAUGAGGAGAAGGGGGUGGGGUUUCCAUGAAGAUCAAUGAUGAUGGGGAUGGAGAAAGAAAAGAAGAAAAGAAAAGAAAUGGAGGAGAAAUAUAAGGUUUUGGGUGGCGAAAAGAGAGAGAGAAGAAGAAGAGAUGGUGCCGAGAAAAAUGGGGAGAAGGGAGGUCUUGAACAGUAAAUACGGG
rnacentral:misc_RNA from 1 species